rnacentral:rRNA from 1 species
GGGAGCAAACAGGAUUAGAUACCCUGGUAGUCCACGCCGUAAACGAUGUCGACUUGGAGGUUGUGCCCUUGAGGCGUGGCUUCCGGAGCUAACGCGUUAAGUCGACCGCCUGGGGAGUACGGCCGCAAGGUUAAAACUCAAAUGAAUUGACGGGGGCCCGCACAAGCGGUGGAGCAUGUGGUUUAAUUCGAUGCAACGCGAAGAACCUUACCUGGUCUUGACAUCCACAGAACUUUCCAGAGAUGAGAAGGUGCCUUCGGGAACCGUGAGACAGGUGCUGCAUGGCUGUCGUCAGCUCGUGUUGUGAAAUGUUGGGUUAAGUCCCGCAACGAGCGCAACCCUUAUCCUUUGUUGCCAGCGGUCCGGCCGGGAACUCAAAGGAGACUGCCAGUGAUAAACUGGAGGAAGGUGGGGAUGACGUCAAGUCAUCAUGGCCCUUACGACCAGGGCUACACACGUGCUACAAUGGCGCAUACAAAGAGAAGCGACCUCGCGAGAGCAAGCGGACCUCAUAAAGUGCGUCGUAGUCCGGAUUGGAGUCUGCAACUCGACUCCAUGAAGUCGGAAUCGCUAGUAAUCGUGGAUCAGAAUGCCACGGUGAAUACGUUCCCGGGCCUUGUACACACCGCCCGUCACACCAUGGGAGUGGGUUGCAAAAGAAGUAGGUAGCUAACCUUC